GCCGGGCAUGGUGAUGCAUGCCUGUAAUCCCAGCUACUUGGGAGGCUGAGGCAGGAGAAUCGCUUGAACCCAGGAGGAGGAGGUUUCAGUGAGCUGACAUCUCGCCACUGCACUCCAGCCUGGGUAAUAGACCAAGACUCUGUCUCAA
rnacentral:SRP_RNA from 2 species